AGUAGAAUCCUUGGGUUUUAUGUUAUAUUUUUAACUUUGAAAGAAACUGCCAAACUGUUUUCCAAAGUGACUGUACCAUUUACUUUCCUGCUAGCACU
rnacentral:pre_miRNA from 1 species